rnacentral:rRNA from 1 species
GCAAGUCGAACGGUGAAGCCCAGCUUGCUGGGUGGAUCAGUGGCGAACGGGUGAGUAACACGUGAGUAACCUGCCCCUGACUCUGGGAUAAGCCUUGGAAACGAGGUCUAAUACCGGAUACGUGACGCUCAGGCAUCUGAUGCGUCUGGAAAGAUUUAUCGGUCAGGGAUGGACUCGCGGCCUAUCAGCUUGUUGGUGGGGUAACGGCCCACCAAGGCGACGACGGGUAGCCGGCCUGAGAGGGCGACCGGCCACACUGGGACUGAGACACGGCCCAGACUCCUACGGGAGGCAGCAGUGGGGAAUAUUGCACAAUGGGCGCAAGCCUGAUGCAGCGACGCCGCGUGAGGGAUGAAGGCCUUCGGGUUGUAAACCUCUUUCAGCAGGGAAGAAGCGCAAGUGACGGUACCUGCAGAAGAAGCGCCGGCUAACUACGUGCCAGCAGCCGCGGUAAUACGUAGGGCGCAAGCGUUGUCCGGAAUUAUUGGGCGUAAAGAGCUCGUAGGCGGUCUGUCGCGUCUGCUGUGAAAACUCGAGGCUCAACCUCGGGCUUGCAGUGGGUACGGGCAGACUAGAGUGCGGUAGGGGAGACUGGAAUUCCUGGUGUAGCGGUGGAAUGCGCAGAUAUCAGGAGGAACACCGAUGGCGAAGGCAGGUCUCUGGGCCGCAACUGACGCUGAGGAGCGAAAGCAUGGGGAGCGAACAGGAUUAGAUACCCUGGUAGUCCAUGCCGUAAACGUUGGGCACUAGGUGUGGGGCUCAUUCCACGAGUUCCGUGCCGCAGCAAACGCAUUAAGUGC